rnacentral:tRNA from 1 species
GGGUGUGUCUCAGUAGAAGAUAUUUUGCUUUGAAUGCAGAGGGUCCCAGGUUCAAUCUCUGGCAUUUCCA